UAGGGCUUCACACGUCAUACAAUGGUCGGUACAGAGGGUUGCCAAGCCGCGAGGUGGAGCCAAUCCCUUAAAGCCGAAUCGUAGUCCGGAUCGUAGUCUGCAACUCGACUACGUGAAGUCGGAAUCGCUAGUAAUCGCAGAUCAGCAUGCUGCGGUGAAUACGUUCCCGGGUCUU
rnacentral:rRNA from 1 species